UGGCUAGGCAGACACAACAAGCUGGAAUCCACAAAGAUCCUGUAGGAGCAAACACAACAACACAGCCCUGCGCCCUUGGCCCCAAAUAGUUAACUAAAACAUUCAAUUAAUUUAAGGUAAAUAGAAACAUUCAAUUGCAUUCAAUUGAUUUAAGGUAAAUAAUACUUUU